CUCUUUCUGUAAAUGCUGACCAUUGUAUAUUUUUGCCUCAGGCAUGGUCCAUGAUUUCCAAAUUGACCGAGGAGAAGACUAAUGCUAUCCAACAAAGUCAGCAGCUUCGACGGGAACUGGAAAUGCUGACGAAAGAAUCAAGCAAGAAGCAGUCGGGCGGUCAUUCCUUGCUGUUUAUGCUGCUCGUGGGUCUCCUUGGUUGCUUCUUUGGCUACAUCUUGAACCGGACUUAAACCCCUAUAUAUAUGGGGUUAUAGCUUCAUCAUCUUUUUUAAUCAUCAUAUCUUUGCAAAGUUCUAAGGAGAGUAUUUUUUUGACCAGAAUUUUUCUUUAAAAAUUGAGGUGUUUUUAUUUAUUUAUUUUUUAAAGCUGUAAAAUGAAUAGCUGCUGUAGCUCAGGAACAAAGUGAUUUUGGGGCUGUUAUUGAUUUAAAGCACACUUUUGACUC